GGUUAAGCGACUAAGCGUACACGGUGGAUGCCCUGGCAGUCAGAGGCGAUGAAGGACGUGCUAAUCUGCGAUAAGCGUCGGUAAGGUGAUAUGAACCGUUAUAACCGGCGAUUUCCGAAUGGGGAAACCCAGUGUGUUUCGACACACUAUCAUUAACUGAAUCCAUAGGUUAAUGAGGCGAACCGGGGGAACUGAAACAUCUAAGUACCCCGAGGAAAAGAAAUCAACCGAGAUUCCCCCAGUAGCGGCGAGCGAACGGGGAGCAGCCCAGAGCCUGAAUCAGUGUGUGUGUUAGUGGAAGCGUCUGGAAAGGCGCGCGAUACAGGGUGACAGCCCCGUACACAAAAAUGCACAUGCUGUGAGCUCGAUGAGUAGGGCGGGACACGUGGUAUCCUGUCUGAAUAUGGGGGGACCAUCCUCCAAGGCUAAAUACUCCUGACUGACCGAUAGUGAACCAGUACCGUGAGGGAAAGGCGAAAAGAACCCCGGCGAGGGGAGUGAAAAAGAACCUGAAACCGUGUACGUACAAGCAGUGGGAGCACGCUUAGGCGUGUGACUGCGUACCUUUUGUAUAAUGGGUCAGCGACUUAUAUUCUGUAGCAAGGUUAACCGAAUAGGGGAGCCGAAGGGAAACCGAGUCUUAACUGGGCGUUAAGUUGCAGGGUAUAGACCCGAAACCCGGUGAUCUAGCCAUGGGCAGGUUGAAGGUUGGGUAACACUAACUGGAGGACCGAACCGACUAAUGUUGAAAAAUUAGCGGAUGACUUGUGGCUGGGGGUGAAAGGCCAAUCAAACCGGGAGAUAGCUGGUUCUCCCCGAAAGCUAUUUAGGUAGCGCCUCGUGAAUUCAUCUCCGGGGGUAGAGCACUGUUUCGGCAAGGGGGUCAUCCCGACUUACCAACCCGAUGCAAACUGCGAAUACCGGAGAAUGUUAUCACGGGAGACACACGGCGGGUGCUAACGUCCGUCGUGAAGAGGGAAACAACCCAGACCGCCAGCUAAGGUCCCAAAGUCAUGGUUAAGUGGGAAACGAUGUGGGAAGGCCCAGACAGCCAGGAUGUUGGCUUAGAAGCAGCCAUCAUUUAAAGAAAGCGUAAUAGCUCACUGGUCGAGUCGGCCUGCGCGGAAGAUGUAACGGGGCUAAACCAUGCACCGAAGCUGCGGCAGCGACGCUUAUGCGUUGUUGGGUAGGGGAGCGUUCUGUAAGCCUGCGAAGGUGUGCUGUGAGGCAUGCUGGAGGUAUCAGAAGUGCGAAUGCUGACAUAAGUAACGAUAAAGCGGGUGAAAAGCCCGCUCGCCGGAAGACCAAGGGUUCCUGUCCAACGUUAAUCGGGGCAGGGUGAGUCGACCCCUAAGGCGAGGCCGAAAGGCGUAGUCGAUGGGAAACAGGUUAAUAUUCCUGUACUUGGUGUUACUGCGAAGGGGGGACGGAGAAGGCUAUGUUGGCCGGGCGACGGUUGUCCCGGUUUAAGCGUGUAGGCUGGUUUUCCAGGCAAAUCCGGAAAAUCAAGGCUGAGGCGUGAUGACGAGGCACUACGGUGCUGAAGCAACAAAUGCCCUGCUUCCAGGAAAAGCCUCUAAGCAUCAGGUAACAUCAAAUCGUACCCCAAACCGACACAGGUGGUCAGGUAGAGAAUACCAAGGCGCUUGAGAGAACUCGGGUGAAGGAACUAGGCAAAAUGGUGCCGUAACUUCGGGAGAAGGCACGCUGAUAUGUAGGUGAAGUCCCUCGCGGAUGGAGCUGAAAUCAGUCGAAGAUACCAGCUGGCUGCAACUGUUUAUUAAAAACACAGCACUGUGCAAACACGAAAGUGGACGUAUACGGUGUGACGCCUGCCCGGUGCCGGAAGGUUAAUUGAUGGGGUUAGCGCAAGCGAAGCUCUUGAUCGAAGCCCCGGUAAACGGCGGCCGUAACUAUAACGGUCCUAAGGUAGCGAAAUUCCUUGUCGGGUAAGUUCCGACCUGCACGAAUGGCGUAAUGAUGGCCAGGCUGUCUCCACCCGAGACUCAGUGAAAUUGAACUCGCUGUGAAGAUGCAGUGUACCCGCGGCAAGACGGAAAGACCCCGUGAACCUUUACUAUAGCUUGACACUGAACAUUGAGCCUUGAUGUGUAGGAUAGGUGGGAGGCUUAGAAGUGUGGACGCCAGUCUGCAUGGAGCCGACCUUGAAAUACCACCCUUUAAUGUUUGAUGUUCUAACGUUGACCCGUAAUCCGGGUUGCGGACAGUGUCUGGUGGGUAGUUUGACUGGGGCGGUCUCCUCCUAAAGAGUAACGGAGGAGCACGAAGGUUGGCUAAUCCUGGUCGGACAUCAGGAGGUUAGUGCAAUGGCAUAAGCCAGCUUGACUGCGAGCGUGACGGCGCGAGCAGGUGCGAAAGCAGGUCAUAGUGAUCCGGUGGUUCUGAAUGGAAGGGCCAUCGCUCAACGGAUAAAAGGUACUCCGGGGAUAACAGGCUGAUACCGCCCAAGAGUUCAUAUCGACGGCGGUGUUUGGCACCUCGAUGUCGGCUCAUCACAUCCUGGGGCUGAAGUAGGUCCCAAGGGUAUGGCUGUUCGCCAUUUAAAGUGGUACGCGAGCUGGGUUUAGAACGUCGUGAGACAGUUCGGUCCCUAUCUGCCGUGGGCGCUGGAGAACUGAGGGGGGCUGCUCCUAGUACGAGAGGACCGGAGUGGACGCAUCACUGGUGUUCGGGUUGUCAUGCCAAUGGCACUGCCCGGUAGCUAAAUGCGGAAGAGAUAAGUGCUGAAAGCAUCUAAGCACGAAACUUGCCCCGAGAUGAGUUCUCCCUGACCCUUUAAGGGUCCUGAAGGAACGUUGAAGACGACGACGUUGAUAGGCCGGGUGUGUAAGCGCAGCGAUGCGUUGAGCUAACCGGUACUAAUGAACCGUGAGGCUUAACCUU
rnacentral:rRNA from 1 species